UCCAUUGGGAGCAGCUGAGGCUCUGUGGGAUAGACCAGAUUUUUUCCUGACAUGAUGCUUUGAAGGGGUGGGGAGAGUCAUGGUGAUGCGAUGUAGUCCUGCAACUGGAUUUUAGAGUGGGGGAGCCUGCAGAGAGGAGCAGAGCUUCAGGGGGUGCAGAGAAGAAAAAGUUACAAGAAAGCAGCAGCACCUAGGCAGAAUUUGUCAAAGGUGAAUGGGCUGUCUUCCUCUGCAGUGUCUUGAAUGCUGUUGCUCUGUGGCUUUUCCAAGCUGUCGCCCUAUUAAAAAUCUGUGGCCAGAUUGUGGAAGGUCUGGCUGAGGGUUCGCAAUCUCACAGCACCAUUUGUCAACUGAAGAUGAGAAAAGAACUCGGAACAAUUGGAUUCAAGCCUCGUUCUGCCUCACUUUUAUAGCCUCUUUUUACAGUUUCUCACUGGGUCUGGAAAGAAUGCUAAAAGUCAGAUAAUGGAAAGACGUGGCAGUUUUCUGGAGCACUGGAGGGUUCCACAGGAGCUGCCCCCAGAUGCCUUCUGUAUUGCCUGGACCUGGUGCUUCCAGCUGUCAGCUCUGGAGCUGAUAUAGCAGCCCUGUGUUUGAGCAGCUGCAGCCCUGGGAAAGUUGUCUUACAGAGUGAAAGGACACCCAGGCUUCUGGCAGAACUGCCAGGUGGCCUCACAGGAGGUGGGCACAAAGAUUUUAGCUCUGCAACUCAGGAAUAGCAUGUUUUGCCAGAGCAACAGCUCAUCAGUUGCUGAGAUCGCUUUUCUUUUAAUGAAGGUUUGGCUUCUGUCAGCAGCCAGCAUAGAAGCCCUGAGGACACAGCUGAACAGUUUUCUGUGUAACACUCCUAUGAAACUGAAAACAGCCUGGGGUCUGAAAUAGUUCAGGGUCCUUUCCAAACCUGUGUUGAUGUUGUGGGCAAUAUUGCAAUAUAUAUUUUAUCUGGAAACAGCUGUUUCACCUACCCUAACUCUAAAAAAGGCAGUUUUAAUUAUAAUUAUAUUAAAAAGUUUAUAUUAAAAGCUUUUAAUAUAAGCCUACAAUAAAAGAUCAAAUUCUUAGAAAUUAUAUAUUUUGCAUAGAAGAAAUCAGAAGUAGCCAAUAUGCUGUUUUGUCUGCAAAUCUAUUAGGCAAAUUUCUCAGCUGCUACUCAGGGAAGUGUGCUAACCAACUUGGAUAUAAAGCUCAGUUUAGUUCCCAGAGAGAUUUGAAAUGGGAAAGUGAUGUUAUUCUAUGAAAAAAUACAGAUUUUUCAAGAAUCCAUCUCUUGUUACUCAAAACAAGGAUUUUUUUUUUUUCAAUAUUCCAACAUAUUCUUCGCACCUUUUCUCUAGAAGUGUGUGUAGCACAAUACAAAAUGAUGACAUUCCAGCAGGAGAUUUCAAAGAUGGCAGAAGCAGCUUGAAGCACAGUCUGUUUAUUGUCGUCUUAUAUCUGAAUAACGGAAUUAGACUGCCUCCCAUUGGGAGCAAUCCAAGUAGCUAGUUGAAUCAAAAUAUCACACCUAAAGUAAAAAGAGCUGUCAUUUUGAAACAAGAAAUUCUACAAUAUAUGCAAUGCAUUAAUUAAAUAAAUAAAUAAAUCCACAAUCAUCUUAUUUUAAGUAUUGUGAUUAAAUCACAAUAAAACAGAUAUUAUAGUAUCAGCUAUCAUCAAAUAUUUUGUUUCUCAUUGAAAUACUUCAGCACUUCCCUUCAAAGUAUUUGUGGCAUUUCCAUUCUGGGAAAAAAUAAAUAAAUAAAUAAAUAAUCAAGUUUCAUCUUAACACUGUUUUGAAAGGAUUAAAUAUUAGGUUUUCUUGUAGGACAGUUACUCCACUUUUACUUUUCCCUUUUGUUCUUCUGCAUUUUUCCUAAUAAAAAUUUCCAUGUUUGCUCAUAAACUUGGAGGUUAUGUGAGGAAUUCAGUGCACCAAAGGAGGGUGUGUUUUAGCUUGCAAGAAUUCUGAAUUGCUAGUUUAGAUGGCUUAUUGUUCAAUGGGGAGACCAAAUAUAUUUAAGCUACUUUGUUUCAUUGUGGCAAAAUAGCUUUUAAGGUUAAAUAUUUGUUCCUUUUAAAAACAAAUAAUCUGUUGCCAUUGAAGAAAACUGGUAUUUGAAAGAGAAUUUGGAAGCAAAACAAUUCAGCAACAGAAUUAAUAGCUUCAUGGAUAAACUGGAGAGUGAAUUAUCAUAGCAUGCAUACAUGAUAGGUAGUAGGCUUGUUCAACUAUUAACAGUCUAAUGCUGCUGCUUUCAUUCUGAUAGCUACUGUGGGAAUGUUUGGUAACAGAAUGAGGAUACAAGCAGUAGCAGAAAAGGAACGAUCAUGACAUCUUUGGCAUUCUUGGUCCUUGCUUCUAAUAAGUGAACUUCUGACAUUUUUCAUUCAUAUGGUAGCAGGGUUGCAGGAGUAUUGAAAUAGUCUAGUGGCACAUUGGUUCCCUUGGAACCAUUUUCCACACAAAUAUUCCACUUGUUAAAAUAGCAACAAUAAUCAUCCCUUGCUGCCCCUGAAUCCCAUGUCAUAACACACUAAGGGUAUUGCAUAAAAAAUAGAAGAUAUUUAUUUGAAAGGCCAAGAAGUGAACUGAGAAAGGGGCAGGAUGAAAGGAGGAAAAUUAAGUGUUUUGGAGGUUUUUUUGUUUUUUAAUUUUAUUUUUGAAAGAUAUUUAUCUGUAUAUAUGAAAAACAAUCAAAACGGUGCACAGAGUUUGAGACAACUUUCACACCUCUUAAAUCCUUUUUUGUUCAUUUGCCUUUGACAGGGUAUUACAUUAAAGGAGGAAAGACUUUCACAGUCUUUCUUUCUGGACUGUCAUGCAAUAAAUUAAUUUCUACUUCUAGCUGAUAUCUGAACAUCUUUACAUUUGUAAACCUAUCAAUACUUCAGUUGUUAGAAGCCUUGUUCCAUGAACUAGAAUAAAGUCAACUUUAGAUACAGGUAGUCUUGAAGGAAAAGGUAUUGUAAACAAAGAUUAUAUGUACCGUCUGGGCUUACUAAAUUCAGUCCUGCCAUUUGAAAUGGUUUCCAGUGAAAUUCCUCCUUAUUUUUAUUCAUCCAUCUAUGUAUAUGCACACAUACAGUGAAUGACAAUGUAUCUUAUAUAAUUCCAAGAAUCAACAUAAAUGACUUAUUAAUUCAUUAUCUGUUUUUAUAAAAGAUGGAGCAUUUUUAAAUUUUAUUUAUUGAACACAACUGUAUUUAAAAGCCCGCCAGAAAACAGAUGUAGAGCCUUGGCAACCAUGGGAAAUCAUGCGUUUCAGGAUUAUGAAAGUCAGUGGGACUUAUGCUUAAUGUAAACUCCAUACCUGUAUGUAAUGUAGCUUGAUGUGAUAUGUAGGUGUAAACUAUAUAUGUAUGCUCAAGUUUUGUAACUGGUAUCUUGUUUACACAGCAUAUACGACAUGAGGAUAUUCUCUCCACCAGUCUUUGCCUGUAUUCUGAGAGUUGUCUGAGGCUUUCUGAUGUAGUGAAAGUGUUUAAAAAAAAAUAAUUG